rnacentral:SRP_RNA from 1 species
CCAUGCUAGAUGGGGAGGUAGCGGUGCCUUGUAACCCGCAAUCCGCUGUAGCGGGAUCGAUGCCUAGCCGAGGAUUAGCUUUGUGGGGUCUGACUUAAACAAGUGGUGAUGAUGAUUGGGUCCUGCGCAACAUAAACUUAUGAACCCCGUCAGGUCCGGAAGGAAGCAGCGGUAAGUAAGCCCUUAUGUGUGCCGUGGGUCAGCCUGAUUAGAGCUAACUAUUUAAGUAACGCCCGGAAGGUCUAAUUCGAAGUUAGGUGCGUGG